UCAUCUAACCGGCAUGAGGAAGGUGUUUUUGUUCCCCAGGAUGAGGCUUAUCCUUUGCAUUCCAGGUUUGUGGACCCCUGUGAUGUUUCCAAAGGAUGGAAACUCAGAUGUGCAUUUCUAGUGAUGGGGUAUGUGUUCACACUCUCCCGUG
rnacentral:snRNA from 13 species